UUUUUGUUUGAACCUGAAGAUGAUGCAAUAAGCAUCAAAAACAUGAGUAUUAAAAUAUGUUUUUGAUUUUACACCUGCUGUAAAGUGCUUGUUUGGUAAUAUACUGUGAAAGUAAUGACGAAGCAGUUUUAAUAACACUAUGAACCAAGUUGAGCUGAGCUAGAUCGUAAGAGAUUAUACAAAAGCUAUUCACAAGAAGAUUAAAACUUUUGAAACCUUGAAAUUUUUAGAACAGUGCAAGAUUAAUGCAGUUUAUCCAAUGUCUAUCAGCAAUGUAAAAUUACCUGUAACCUCGAAGAAAGUGCUAGUAAACACAAAAAGGAUUUGCAUGAAAGCUGCCCUAGCAGAUGCCAAAAGAAAGUUUUUUUAGAAGCAUUAAUGCCAUAACAACAUUAGAAAAUAAGUUACAACAACUACAGGUACAUGAGCAUAUACUAGAAGAAAUUGUAAACAAACAGGAGAAUUUCAGAAAACAGUUAAGAGAGAAACAUAUUAAAAAAUCAAGUGGAUCUUCUAUAAACAGCACAUCACUAAAAGUAACACUCGCUUACCGAUAGACAAAGUAGUUACAGUAAUUGUGAUAUAAUCUUACCAUCCUUUGCAUUUAAGCUUUUUGAAAAUGGACCGAUUUGCACUAUUGAAGAUAAACCGGACAUAAAGUCAGAAAUACAUACCUUAGAGGACUUGUUAGAUAAUCCGCAAUUACAACCACUAGAAAAGGAGAAAAUUAGAUGGCAGUUUGUCAGAGAAAAAUCCAACGGACAGUCCGCCGUUUACAGAAGAACACCAGCGAACCUCCACAAGUUAAUUAAAGAAACCAAACAAUGAAUGAAAAGAAAUAAUAUAACAAUAACUAGAGAAGACAAAACUAAAAAAAUGGUCCUUAUAAAAGAAGACAAUUAUAAGGCAUACUUGCAACAGUACAUACAAGACUCGGCCCCAAUAUUACUAAAGGAAGACCCCACACAAAAAAUUAGC
rnacentral:lncRNA from 1 species